UAAACUUGCAUCGUGAUAGGGAUAGAUUAUUGCAAUUAUUAAUCUUGAACGAGGAAUUCCUAGUAAACGCAGAUCAUCAGUCUGCAUUGAUUACGUCCCUGCCCUUUGUACACACCGCCCGUCGCACCUACCGAUUGAAUGGUCCGGUGAAGGCUCGGGAUUGCAGCUAAUGCCUUUACUGGUGUUGGUUUCAAGAACUUGUCUAAACCUUAUCAUUUAGAGGAAGGUGAAGUCGUAACAAGGUUUCCGUAGGUGAACCUGCGGAAGGAUCAUUACCACACAAUAAUCCAAACCGCGCUUACAUUAAACCCAUAGGCUCUGGCCCUGCUAACUAGUGGUAAACCCCUCUGUAACCCAUCGAGUCUCUCUGGUGUUUACGACCUUAUAAGAUCUCAUUAUGUGCCACUGCCGUGAUGAUGCAACCUGGAGGCCAACGAGUACGAUCCACCAAUUUAAAUUCAAUCGACAGCUUGACGAGAGUCAAGUUUAAAAGUAUAACAUUCCAAUACAACUUUCAGCAAUGGAUGUCUUGGUUCCCAACACAAUGAAGAACACAGCGAAAUGUGAUACGUAAUACGAAUUGCAAGACUUUGUGAAUCAUUGAAUUUUUGAACGCAUAUUGCGCUGCCAGAUUCUUUCUGGGAGCAUACACGACAGAGUAUCAUCAAACCCCAAUCUAUAACAUUAUUUGUUAUGGGCAAGUGAAGUUGGCUUUAAACAAAGCACUCCUUCUAAGUUAUUUAGUGCAGAGGCAUUUUCACAUUGUAGGAAACUCAGUGUAUUUGUUUCAACGUGCUAUUGGUCAAAAUUCACUUUUUGACUGUCUUCUUAACUGAUCUCUGACUGUGUAGGACUACCCGCUGAAUUU
rnacentral:rRNA from 1 species